rnacentral:rRNA from 1 species
GACGUAGGGCGCGAGCGUUGUCCGGAUUUAUUGGGCGUAAAGAGCUCGUAGGCGGCUUGUCGCGUCGACUGUGAAAUCCCUCGGCCCAACCGAGGAACUGCGCCCGAUACUGCGUUGCUUGAGGAUCAGAGGGGUGCACGGAAUUUCCGGUGGAGCGGUGAAAUGCGUUGAUAUCGGAAGGAACGUCGGCGGCGAAAGCGGUGCACUGGCUGAUUUCUGACGCUGAGGUGCGAAAGCCAGGGGAGCAAACGGG